CAGCACAGACCGACACAAGAACCACACCUACGGCCCCGAGAACACAGGCACCCUGCAAGAACCCCUGCACACUGCUCCCCGUGGCCUGGGCAUCCUGCUUUGGUCGCUUGCUUUAGCAGGCAAGAAGGAAAGGGCUGAUUGAACAGCAGCUGUGUGUGCCAAGGCUCAGGCUCAACAUCCAGGCGCUGGUGUGGUGCGGUGUAGUUAAAGCUCCGUAGGAGGAAGAGUGACAUUGUUUUAAAAGCUCAGCUUCAAAAACAAACAUGCAACAAAGACAGGAGUGUAUUCAUCCCCUCCUAUCACAUCUGUGCCCUGCAGGCGAUGUUCUGAGAGGAGUCUGUGAAACUUGUACUUGCAGCUAUCUCAGACAGCUCCACCUCUGUCUCAGCCCUGGCUCUCCGGAGCCUGACACGCUGCCAGGGCUGUGUACGUGAUCCCCUCUGCUCCUACGCACUCCUAGCCCUGCUUAACUCGCAAGCAUUUGCAAACACGCCGCGCAGGAAAGCAAGGUUGUCUUCCAGGAUUUCAGUCUGUAGCCCAUGGGCUUUUCUUUGAUACCGAGAAAUUUGUCAUCUUUAACAUCUGGUUAAAGGAACAACAGAAAGGAACAACAGACAGUCUUAUCCAGAAAGCCAGGUUAGGUGUGUACCUGGAAAAGUCACUUCCCCCUUUGUGUGAGCAUUUCCCACGAUGGCUGGCAGUUCCCUAGUUCCAGCAGAAUGCAGCCACCACUGGAGCUUUGAAGCCCUUAGACCAGCCCUGUGGCAGAUUAUCAAGCAAGCCUUUGGCCUGGGAUGGAUUUGUAUUCAAGGGGAGCCAACAGAGAGAAUACUAACCAGAAUCCAAGAGUUCCUUGGAAUCAUGAGUUCAUGGAAGGCAAACUUCACCUAAGUUUUCAUAGGGCUUCCAUUUGAUGAUGAAAACUUGUUUUUGUAUCCAUACAGAUGUAGAGUGCAGAAAAACCAUGAAUCUUUGUUAUGAGUCAUAUCACUUGGCAGAAGAAUAAAUCUAAAUCUAUUUAUUAGUUUAUUAAUGAAGAAUAUAAAUCUGAAGUUUUAAAAUAUUUAUCUUUUCUAUUUCCUUACCUAAAUAUCUGCAUGAACAGAUUCAAUACAGCAGUUUUAUACUGAAUGAACCUGUCAAGAGGCAGAAGGACUAAUUAAUAAUUUGAUUGACUGAUCUUUUGACCACUAAAAAAAAUCUUUAGUCACAUACUAAAAAUCUAACCAGAUUCUUGUGGAUACAAAAGAGUUACCUCCUUGGAUAGUCGAAAUGCACUGGAUGCACAGUAGUGGGUGGAUUUUAAAGUUGUAUUUGAGAAGCAGUUUAACUCCUGGAUGUAAUAUGAGAAUUGUCUGCUCCAAGUCCGUGCUGGCAGACAGGCAGCAGCAAGACUUAUCAUUUCCUCAGCGGAGGUGGAACAGGACUAAUGGAAGAAACGGAUGAAGAGUCCAUGGGGGGAAAGCGUGUAAAGAAAGGGGUGGAUCACUGUUCUGAUAAGGAAAAGAAAAUUCUUGCUUGCUCAAUGAAAAUGAUUACACUUAAUGUAUGCCAUUAUUGUAAUUCUCCCACAUGCCCUGAAGACCUGAGUGAGUCCAUGCACAUUGUUCUCUGAUGAUUUUGAUGGCAACUAAUUAAUCUUCAUGAGAGGGAGUGCUGACUUUAGGGGUUUUAUCUCACUGCACUGCAAUUUAUUUUCAUUGGCAACUGGUUGACUUUUCCUUUACAACAUGCAGCUUAUGAAUGUCUUAGUUAUUUUGCCAGUGCAAUCACAAAGAUCAAUACAUCUAUGUCUAAAGCAGUACAUUUUUUAAAAUUGCAGUUCAGAGUUCCAUUUAAGUACCAAGCCCACAGUGGUUUAUUUAAAGGUUUAUUAUGUUCUCAAUUACAAAUUCAGUUGCUUUUGGAGCUUUUUCUCUGGCCUCCACUCUCAGUUCCUACUUGGAUACCCUUGCACAUCCUCUACUCACUAUUCCCUGAAGGUUUUGGUAUCCAAAGCACUGCUGCCUUCUUUUUUGUUGCUCAACAGCAGCAACAGAGAGUCGGUGGCAAAGGAAUAUGGCAGAGAAAUGAGUCACCACUAAGUAGUUCAUCAAACCACAUAUCACAUGAAAGAAGUUACUAUAUAUUAAAUAUGUUGACUUGAUUCCACUAAUCAAAUAAUAAAAUUCUACUUGAAUGAUAAAAUUUGCAAGAUAAGAAAUACAGAAAUAAAAAAGUAAUUUACUAUGUUGAUGAAAGCAAACCCACACACUCCUUUAGCUCCUAUAUUUAAGUGUUGUGUUUAAACUAAUUUUUUUAGUUGAGUGUUUAAAAAUAACAUAUGGAAGCAGUUUGGGAAAUUUAGAAAACUUUUUUUUAUAGGAGAAGAAAGCAUGGUGGGUGUGACAGAAGUAAUAUAUUCUAAGUUGCUGUCACAGGACCUGGACUGUGCAUUUGCACAGACAAUAUAAUAUCUGGGUAAUUUUUGGGAGCAACUGCAUUUGUUUUAACUUACAUUUAGUUUCAUCACAGCCUCAUUCUACUGAAGAAUAUAAAAUUAUUUUUAUUUAAGUUUCCUGUUUAAGAAAAAAAAUUUAAAUGUUUUGGUAGCAACUGUGGCACUUCUGGAGACAUUUCCCAGGGGGAGUGUUAUAAACUUCCAUAUUUCUGUGUAUGCAAGAAAGUGAGGGCUGUCCACACAGGAGAUGAUGCUAAAAGACAAACUUUCACCAGGUUGGAAAGCAGGAAAGACUUGUCUGAAACCUCUGUAUUGGGGAUGCCUGGUUAGACAACUGCUGGGUCAGAGCACAUCCACAGUGUUUCCAUGUUUCCAUGAAACCAUGCGCUGCCCAAAAAAACACCCAAACCCAACAAACAGCCAAACAAGAACAAAAAACCAGUCCCCUCAGCCAAAUUCCAGUCUGAUUUUCAAGGCUGCUAUACAAUGGAGACUAGUUACCGGUAGUUUAUCUUUUAUUUCCCUCCAUUUCUUAGACUGUAGUGAACACUGAUUGUUGGUUUCAUGUGAACUUACUGAAACCUCUUAAUGUUCUCAACUGGUCCAGUCUGAGCACUCUGAAUAACCAGCCCAGGUUACAGCAUUGCCAUAAAACAGAAAUAUGGAUGGAGAUCCAGCAUUAGCAGUGCUGUUGGAACCUGAAUGCAUUCAGGUUCUACAACAGGCUACCAAUAUUUUUUUUUAUAGCUCUUUCCCACUGAUCCCCACUUGAAAAAUGAUGAUGAAAUUUUAGAAUUAUUCAGGCCCUGGUUUGAAACACAACAUCAAGAGUUUCUCAAUACAUCCCAUACAUCAGCAUAAUGAACUUAAACUAUUCACUGACUGGUCAACUUAGAACAAUAAACAGAAUCAGGAAUCCAAGUUCAAAACCUCAGUUACUUCGCUCUUACUUCCUUAAGUACACAUGAAGACAGAUUUUAUUACAGCAUUUCAUAGGUGUUCUUAAAAGCCAUGAGCUACUUGCAUUUUAAACUGCAGAGCUUGAAGAAACUUGUGUUACAGGAACUUUACUAACAAAAAAAUUCAGAAAUGAAGAAUUCUGAAAAUUCCCAAACUUACCUAGGCACAUUGUCCAAACGUAUUGCAAGGUAAAAGAAUUAAAAACCUCUUAAGUUACUUUUUACUUUAGUCCAUUCUGGAUUUACCUAACAUCCAGAAGAUCUUCCUGCUGCUCUCCACGAGACAGUCAAAAAAGGCAAAUGAGAGCAUUCAGUACCUUGGGAACACAUGCUGCUAGAUUAGUAACCUUUACUUGAUGAAUUUUCAUCAUUAACAAGCAUACACAUCUUAUUUAUGAUUCAUGGAAAUCUCAUUUAUAACACACAUUUCUACACAGGCUUGCUUGCUUUUGCAAACUUAGACAGCUUCACCUGUUGUAAGAUUUCUGACAUGUUCUAAAGAGAACUCCCCCACCCAACACAUCUUGCCAGUGUUUUUAACAAUGGAAGAUAAAACCCUAGAAGAUAUGAAAAUCGCUGACUUCAUCAGUGCUCGAGGAUACUUCUAUCCCUGUAUGUGCUCGUUCCCUGUAAAUGCUAAUGACAUUGAUUUCAUGAGUCACUGGCACUGUGGCAGAAAGUUAUCAAAGUUGAAAUUAACUUCCCAUAGAAAUACUCUCUAUCAGUUAGAGGAGAGGCAAGCAAGCAAGCAAGGUUAAAACAUGAGGAGAACUGCCAUGGCUUCCCACCAACCAUAGAAGGUCUCAUAAAAUUCAGCUACAUUUACCCACCUCUAGUAGCAUAAACACACUGUCAAGGCAUGUGAAACAAACCAAAUUCUUGUGUGGGAUUAUGUGAUUAUGUGACUUCUCCCACUAUUUGACAUUUUUCUUCUUUUGCUCUACUUAUGUUUGUUUGGACAAAGUUGCACUUUUUGAGAAAAACUUCAACUGACAGAAGGCUGCACUUAUGACUAAAAUAUCAGAAUAAACAGUGGGAGUUACUUCCCACCCCACUGUACUAUUCAGUGCCUGGACUCUGUAUAUCAUUACCUGACACACUGGAAAAUAUCCUCCUUCACAGAGGGACUGAUUUCUAACCAUUAAGACUCUCUGUUGAACUCUGCUUUAUUCACAGAUGUUUCUCAGUGGUAUCAUGUGACAAUCGCAUUUCUGUUAUUUAGAUUUCUCCCCGUCUUUUUUCCCCUCUCAGCAAUACUGGCUUGGCUUCCCCUGCUCUGGAGUGCUGGCUGGAGAGGGAACUGGGGUAGGCUGUUUUAACAAGCAGCACAUUCUGUUUUAAACCCUUUUGCACGGAAUACAAAUCCUUGAAUGUUUUCCAGAAAUGUGAAGUGUGUUGACUUCUAUACUCAGAAUAAUAAACACAA